CCUUGCUAAGAUUUGAAUACAGAACAGUCAAACAUCAAAUGUUGAAGCCUUGAAGCCUGAAGGGGGUUUUUUGUAGCAAAGAGAAGCCGAAGAAGAGCGCCUAGAAAGACAAUGAACCCACGAAGCCUCCCUACAAUGAAUUGACCGUCGCAUUGCACCGGCCUCUAAUGAAAAUGGCGACCUCAGCCUCAGGGGAUGACAAGAAGAAACUGGUCAAGGUUGGGCCAUAUGGAGCUAGAGCUUGUGGUCAGCCCUGGGACGAUAGAGACAAAGAUGGAAUCGCACAAAUCUUCAUUUGUUAUGGAGAGUCUGUCAUCAAUUCUCUACGAUUCAAUUACGUGAAGAAGAAUGGAAAACUUGAGUUGUCCGAUAGAUAUGGCGGAGAUUGUGGAUUAAAUUUCACCACGGUUGAUGUUGAUUAUCCGUCAGAAUUUCUUACUUGGGUUAGAGGAAGUUAUAAUGCAAAAUCUGGUCUGGUGUCACUCACAUUCGGGACCAAUAUAUCCCAAUAUGGACCCUUCGGUGGUCGAGAGAGUAUGCGGGAUUCUUAUGUUGUUGUUAAUGGAAGGAACAAGGGGGAUUCCGAGGAUUCAGAAUUCUACAUUGGAAUGGGCAAACAGCUGGGUGGUUUUGCUGGGUUUCAUGGAUACUUUCUUGAUGAUAAUCGUAUCCUCUCAAUUGGAGCUUAUAUUAAGCCAGCUACUGGUAACUGUGGCCUACCUAAGAAUUAAACUAAUAGAGAGGAAAAAAGAAGAAGAAGACUAUUAUUGCACUAUGGGCAUGAGGCAAAUUAAGUUUCUGAAUGAAAACGAUGUAGUCACUAAAUCAGUACUAUACAUGCCAUGCCAGUUGCACUUGAGGUCAAUAAAAUUCAAUGCAAUGUUUGGUUCUGUCUUAUUUGUGACAAGUAAAAUGAUGUGGAGAGUUGAGGUAGCAAGGAGCAAAGUUAUUUGCAUGUUUUGGGAGUGACCUAUAUAUAUGAUGUGGAGAGUUGAAUGUUAAAUUGGAUAUU